UACGGGGGGGGCAAGCGUUGUUCGGAAUUACUGGGCGUAUAGGGCUCGUAGGCGGCCAACUAAGUCAGACGUGAAAUCCCUCGGCUUAACCGGGGAACUGCCUCUGAUACUGGAUGGCUUGAGAUUGGGAGAGGGAUGCGGAAUUCCAGGUGUAGCGGUGAAAUGCGUAGAUAUCUGGAGGAACACCGGUGGCGAAGGCGGCAUCCUGGACCAACACUGACGCUGAGGAGCGAAAGCCAGGGGAGCAAACGGG
rnacentral:rRNA from 1 species